AGUUGCUUCCAAUACUGGACCUGCACAACAAAGAACAGGCUCAGCCACCAGAUAUAUGUUUGCCACAUGGAAAUUUGGACAGCAGAUCAGAGGAAAUAUCCAGAAAGUUCCAUCAGGACCCAAUCCCAUUGGAAAUCGGCACCCACCAUCCUACCCAUGAAAUGAUAGAGGGCUUGCGCUAUGUUUAGUAAGUAGAAUUGAUAAUGCCCAUGUUCUCUUUCUUCUGUAAUUGAAGAUGGUAGACCAUAGAAUAUUGCAUAUUUUAAGGUCAUGAUUUCCAGUAUAUUGUACUUGCAUUUGCAGAAGGAUGAUUUUUGUUCUUAGAUUAACAUAAAAAAUGAUCUUGAGAUCAGAGA